GACUACUAGGGUAUCUAAGCCUGUUCGCUCCCCACGCUUUCGUGCCUCAGCGUCAAUCAUGGCAUAGUAAGCUGCCUUCGCAAUCGGUGUUCUGUGUAAUAUCUAAGCAUUUCACCGCUACACUACACAUUCCGCCUACCUCUACCACAUUCAAGCCCGACAGUAUCAAUGGCAAUUUUACAGUUAAGCUGCAAACUUUCACCACUGACUUACCGGGCCGCCUGCGCACCCUUUAAACCCAAUAAAUCCGGAUAACGCCUGCAUCCUCCGUAUUACCGCGGCUGCUGGCACGGAGUUAGCCGAUGCUUAUUCGUACGGUACCUUCGUCCUCCGACACGUCGGAGUUAUUAUUCCCGUACAAAAGCAGUUUACAACCCAUAGGGCCGUCUUCCUGCACGCGGCAUGGCUGGUUCAGGCUUGCGCCCAUUGACCAAUAUUCCUCACUGCAGCCUCCCGUAGG
rnacentral:rRNA from 1 species